GACGUAGGGGGCGAGCGUUGUCCGGAUUUAUUGGGCGUAAAGAGCGCGUAGGCGGCCCGGAAAGUCGGAUGUGAAAACCCGGAGCUCAACUCCGGGCCUGCAGUCGAUACGGGCAAACUGGAGUGUUGCAGGGGAGACUGGAAUUCCUGGUGUAGCGGUGAAAUGCGCAGAUAUCAGGAGGAACACCGGUGGCGAAGGCGGGUCUCUGGGCAACAACUGACGCUGAGGAGCGAAAGCGUGGGGAGCGAACAGG
rnacentral:rRNA from 1 species